UCCUCCUCCUCAUUCAUCUUCCACACAGUACCUCCUCCCUCAGCUCCAGUGGCUGGCUUGACUUCCGCUGAGACAGAAUGAAUAUUUCCCAUGGCUUAUCUGACCACUGGCAGAACGAAUAUGACACACAGUACCAGCCUCUGUUAAUUAACAUGCAGCCUCGGGUCCUCAGAUCAGAGGCCCCCAGGGACAAUUAGGCCUUGUAGUUUGACACUUCAUACACACUGGUGUCCUUUUCAUUAUGGUCAGUAAGGCACGUGGUUGUGUGUCUGCAGUCACUGGAGACACAGCUUUACUGUAACACAUCUUGACUUGAUUGUCUUGGUUUCAGCCUUUUCUGGUAGAGACUAUGGGAGGGAGGAAAAAGGAGGGAUAGAAUGAAAACAGGGAGAACAAGCUUCUCUUACUCUCUGUCUUUCUCUCUCUGCAGCCUGGCUUGUGUCCAGGCAUGUCCAGCCCCUUGGUAAUGAUGAAGGUGUGACGUGUAGCAAUUUUUCUGUUGUGCAAUCAUCAAGAGGCUCUUGGGGGGCUAUAAGACCCCCAGCCUCAUCUGGUUUCUCAGUGCCUCCAGUCUGUUUGGUCCACACACACACGCGAACACAGAGGUAUGAUAUGGUCCGGGGUACUCAGCUGUGUGGAUUUCUCUUAGAGGAGCCGAGGAGCAAGUUUCAAGGCAUGCAUUUCAGCGAAAAGAUCCAGUGAAAACCACUUUAUUGUUUGGACUGGACACCCAAUCGCUACUGCUGAUUGUGGAAAAUUGAAAGGAAAUAAGUCAAACUGAGUGACGCAAGGGUACAUCCUGUUCCAUAAUGGCAAUCACACAUGUCCUCUCCCUUUUCAACUCCACCUCAUUCCCCGUUUCAACAACAGAGAUCUAUCCGAACACCUCUGCUCCCCCCUGCACAGACUGGCCUCCUGUAUCCAUGACCACAGUCAUCCCGGCCAUCUACAGCAUUAUCUGUGUGCUGGGAAUAGCAGCCAAUGCCUUGGUGAUGUGCGUGUUGGCCCAUGCCAGUGCCUCAAGGACCACCGUAGCUAACACUUUCAUGCUGAACCUGUGUGUGUCUGACCUGCUGUUCCUGCUGUCUCUCCCACUGUGGGCUGUCUACUACUCCCGGGGCUACAGCUGGCCCUUUGGCCAGGUUGCCUGCAAAAUCUGCGGAGCUCUCCACAACUUGAACCUCUAUGCAUCCAUCUUCUUCAUCACAUGCAUGAGUAUGGACCGCUACCUAGCCAUAGUCCAUCCGUUCUACUCCCAGAGUGCACGAGACCCCAGACGGGCCCGACUCACAUGCAUCGUGGUGUGGCUUUUAGCAUGUGCUUGCUCAGCCCCCACCUUGGCUCUGAGGAGCAUGCACUACCUCGAAGGGCUCGGUGUGGAGGGCUGUGUGAUCUCCUAUCCUGAUGAUACUUGGUUUCUGACUCUGGCCUGCAUGAAGAUUGUUCUGGCCUUUCUCCUACCACUGCUUGUCAUCUGUUUUUGCUACUGUGCUGUUGGUAUACAUCUGUUGGCUGAUACGGGGCUGGCAAGAAUGCAGAGUACAUCACACUCCCUCAACAUGCCCUCUUUUAAAUCACUUGAGUUCAAGGAGAGCUGCAGUAAACCAGAGAGACCUCCAACCCCCUGUGUGAACCUCAGCUCCAGUGGGAGCAGAAUCCUGGAGGGUAGGGGGCUGGAGCGGGUGUUAUGGACUGUAGCUGCUGUGGUCCUGGCCUUCUUCCUCUGCUGGUUCCCCUUUCACUGCGUGACAUUCAUAGAAGUGCUGGAGAGUAAGGGCUGGCUGGACAGCUGCUGGGUAAACUGGACUAUCCUCAAUCUCACCCCUCUCACCCUAUGCUUGGGCUUCUCUAACUCGGCCAUUAACCCUGUGCUCUAUUGCUUUGUCGGGAAUCAUUUCCGUGGCCGACUCGGUGGCCUUUGGAAGGACCUCUGUGCUUGUUUGAAGGCCCGUGGGGAAAAUCACAGUCAGAAGAGGGGCUCCUUCAGCACUAGACUGAGUUCCAGCUCUCGCAAACUCAGUGACCUGAAAGACCUGGCGACUGUGGAGCCCUCUGGUUCUGCCUAGGCAGCUCCCAGAGGACAGACUUUCCCUUACCCCAGAGAAUGAAUGUCAAAUGACUGCUGAACUCCAGUAAGCAUGGAUGUGUGAGAUGGUGCUGUUACUAUAAUUGACUGAGUCAAAUUCCAGCAGAGCACAGUACUGCCCUACAAAGCUAGAAAAAGUAAAGUGAAAAGUAAGAAAAGAUAAAGAUGAAAAAAAGUGUACCAACAUCUGUGUAACAAACAGUGAAACUCUAAAUUUAAUUUCUUUUAAUGAAAUUAUUUGACACUCCGGCUUUGGAAAUUUCAAAGUGGCCACACACCAAUGUGAAAUCAAUGUGAAAAGUAUCACUGGUAGUGAUGAAUUAUCAUGUAAAUCUCCAGCUCUACUCAGCUUUACACAGUUUUAUAUUGAGUGUCAGCUUAUUGUCGAGCUGCCCAGCCCCAUUGUUACAAUUUUGGUUCAAUCACACUGCUUUCAUAGUGUCAUUUGUAGUGACACCAGGCAGCUAUUUUCAGCAGAAAAGUCAUAACACCCCCCCCCCGAACACCUUUGCAGGACCAAACAGCUGACCACAACCUAGCUGGUGAAGAAAGUGGAGCAUUUAGCAACUAUAAAGACAGGAACUGGUAGAGACUAUACACUGAGCUAAAAGAGAAUGAAUAUUGGACAUCUAUUCAUCAGCUGUGAGUGAGAGCUGCCCCCUCUUGGGAAUAUGAAUGCUGGGAUUACUGUCGGCCUGGCAGAUGGACGUUCAGCCCCUCUCCCCCAUUUCCUCCCCUUCCAGAGCGCCUCACAUGGAUUCCGAACAUAUCAAUACCAGACAUCAUAUUGUCAUAUUCAUAUCCUUAUGAUGCAUUCCAGUCAGGCCGCUUGCGUUGGUUGAGGGAGCAGCCAGCUAAUCAAUGAUGUAUCUUUGUCUGCUAUUUGUGUCCAGUAUAGAUCCACUGCUUUCUGCAUUGGCCCUGACCUGCCUCUGUGAGCUGAGCUGAGAGCCAAUGGAGUAUGGUGUAAUGUUUACAGUGGUGAAAGCUUGGGAUUAUUGUACACACAAAGAAGCAGAGAUUUUGUUCAUGUCUAAAUACUUUAUCAUUUUAAAUUUUAUACUUAGAACCCAGAUGGAUGUUUCAAAUUACUAUGCCACCCAAAACAAAGGGACAUCUCCCCGAAGGGGGCUUCCAGUCUUUACUUUAAGCUUGCAGUAGAUCAUCCCUUGUUAAUCUUCCAGAUUUUGACACUGGAUGGCGAUAAAGUGCUGUAGAAGCAGUAAGUACAAUGCCACUGGCUGCUUACCCAGGCAGAGACCCUCAGUCCCGCCACUCAUGAUCCUUCCAAGCUGUGAGAAAGAUGCCUCAGACAGACCGAUGACUCAUGUAGGCUACAGUUCAGCAUGUAUAAAAACACACAUCCUCAACAAAUGCUGCAUUAAACUGAGCCACAGGUUCAGAGAAAACAGUGAAGGGUCGAAGCUCAUGGUCUGCCUUUCUGAAGUUGUUUUAGAGAAACACUUGGAAGGACAGAAGGACUCACUGUAACCGUGAUUGUGUUGUGAAUGAAUAGCAUCAAAAUCCAGAAUAACACACAUCUCAACGUGUCAGAUUAUCCUUAAAUACCAGAUGCUGUGCUAUCACAUUGGUAGAAUGUGCACAUCAUGUCAGUGCAGUAAACCAUCAAUGUUUUAAUCAGCAGAUCCUUAAUUUGACACAACAGAACUCUCUGACAGACAGGACAGAUUGCAGAAUGAAUCUGUUGCUGCUCCACAGUAUGUUCAUGCAAACAUCUUCACAAACUGAUGCCUCACUUCGCUGUAGAGCAGGUGUGACUGUCCCUGACACAUGUUUAACAGCAGAAAGGCCAGUGACAUGUUACUAGGAACAUGUGUUACACAGUGUAGAUAUGUGAUGAGAAGAUGUAUGCUGAGAAACUAUAGGCAGCUGCUGUAAACAGGAGGCACCAGACCUUUGGCUUGACUGCCAUAAAAUGUCUUUCUGUCACAUAUUGUAUAUCAUUAAUCUAACACUGACUAGGCCUCAAUGUCAAUCUUAUUGCACAUUUAAGUAAAGAAAUUAA